CCCUUUCCUCUCCUUUCCCCUUGAAAACCCUAGCCGCCCCCAACCUCCUCACCUCUCUCCUCGUCAUCGGCCUAAAAAUGGCAAAGGUUGAAUUCGCCUUUGCUUUACGCAGCGGAUGCUCAAUCAAAUGGGGUAAAGCAUUAAUUGCGUUACCCUUUCUCCACCAUAGCACAACCAAACAAGUUGUGAGGUUGAGGAGCGAAGGGGUCUCCAAAGGUUCAAUCUCAAUCAAGGCUGCGCUCAAAAAAGGUAACCUAUUUUCUUUUAGUUAAUUUUUAUUGCUUUAAACUGCCUUAUGUGAAUUUAUUUAGUUUCUGUUUUUGUGUAGUUAGGCUUAGUUAAUCUUAGCUUAGAUUUGCUUUAUUUCUGUGGUUAUUAAUCAUGUUUGCUUAUGUUAGAUUUACAUUAUUUCUAGUCUAGAUUAGUAGUUUAUUAACCCUGUCUAUAUGCUUAACUAGGAUUUGAUGUCUAUAAUUUUAUUAAUCCUAUCUAUGUACUUAGCUAGGAUUAAGAGUUCAUAGUUUUUGUUGAUCAUGUCUAAAUACUUGCUUGUUUUUUAGAUUAGUCGAUUAGUAAUCUGUUGAUCAUGCAUAAAUACUCACCUGUUCUAAGAUUAGUUAAUUCAUAACUUGUUGGUCAUGUCUAAUUGCUUAAACUGUUUUAGGACUAGUUGCUUAAACUGUUAAGCAUGCUUGUACUUAACUGGUUGCCUAUCCAUGUUUGUUCCAUUCAAGUUUGAUAAACUAUAGGUUGUGACUGAUUGAGUAUGGUUUGUGGGUUAGUAACAUGUUCACUAGUUUGAGUCUGGACUUUUGCUUGAAAGAUGCCUUACAUGUUUCAAACCUGUAGCUUAUUAAUCGUGAGUUAUUUAGCUGGUGUCUUAGUUAUUUAGCUGGUGUCUUUCCCCUUUAAGAAUGGAUAAAUACCCUGAUUACAUUAUAUGAACCGGCAGUGCAUUAUUUCCCCUUGGAAUCUGGUCUGUCUAAGAACAAAUUGAUACUUCGUUUUCCUUUGUUAAGUGCUGGUGUUGACGUUCUUGGUUACCUUCACUUGUGGUCUAUUAAAAGUGUCCAUGCCCCUCUUACUUAAAUGUUUUGAGUCUUUGAAAACCUAUUGUUGAAAUACUUACACCUAGUUUGUACAUAGCCAAAGUCUGUCUACACUUGAGCAAAUAAAGUAGGAUUUGAAGUGAUCUUUAAAGUUAAAAAUCUCAUUUCAAAAGUGUUAUGAAUUCUGGGCUUUUUUCUUUUCAACAAAAGGAGUGUGUUACUUGUUUGAAAUUAUUAGGUUCUGCCCUGGCUGAGUUAAUUACCAUGAAGAAUCCCCCCUCUUUUUUCCAUUGUAUUGUUGCUCGUAUACGUGCUAUGUACUGAAUGUAUAAAUAUUAUACAUGACUCGUAUGCAUCAUGGUGUAUACAAGAAGUAUAUUUUGUAUACCGCAUGAGAAAAUUUUGGAACCUGUUUUGCUAUGCAUUGUAGAUAAAGUGUUUGGGUCAAAUCUGCCCUUUUUAGUGUUUACUCUGUUGGGUCUGCUUUGAAUUGUUAUAAUCUGAUCUCAGUUCUUGAUUAUUUGGGCCUAGCCACACUUGUUCCCUUUGGGCUUGGAAGAGUUGUACCCAUUGUU